GAAAGGAUACGUUAAAACCAACCAAUAUUUAAGUCUAGCUAUGAGAUAUUAGGCCUUUAUACUUGGAAGAAUGGAUGAAUCACACUUGAGGUUGAGCUCACCAAGUACGCAUAUGAGAAGAGGCCAGCAACUGCAUCUGAAUAGCUGAGGGAACAUUCUCU